AAAGGAGUAGGCUACAGGAGGACAAUCAGUUAGUUUGGUCUAUUAACAAAGAUAACGGAAGGAUACAAAUUGCACAUGAAAAUGGUUUCAAAUAUUCCCUUUUGUUGUUUAUCUGCACUUGUGCUCCUUAACUUAGUAGGAGCCAAACCUGUGUCCAACCUUCAGACGCUGAAACAGAUUCUGGAAGAAGAAAGUAAUGUGCCAUAUUACGAUUCAGAGGAGACGGUAGAAUCAGAUGGCAAAAACUUGAAUACAGAGAAGGCGAGUUUCGAUGCUGCAGAAGAGCGUCAGUGGGACUUGAGGAAUUCUGCGCUGGAGGGAAAAGACAACGCUCUCGCGCGUCUACUAACUGAUCUUAUGACAACCUCCAAGCGUUCGUGGGGCCGAUACAAGAAGGGCGGCUUGAGAAGUUGUUUUGGCGUCAGGCUUGAACGAAUUGGUUCAUUCAGCGGGCUUGGAUGUUAAAGAAUAAUAGGUUUGGAUGGUGGCGGAUCGGAGCACAAGAAUCUGGGCUACCCUUACUUGAAAUCUGCAUAGAUAUGUACCUCUGCAACUCAGAGUAUUGACUGAGAGUUUACAAAUUUGCUAUAGGAUAAAGUUAUUUAAGUUUGUAGUUUGUAUUUGGCAUAUUUAAUGGUUCUUAGAACUGUACAUCCUAUUUUUCACAUCAUAUGGUUCUGGCUGUAUUCUGUGUAUUUAUCUAUUUAUUUUAUUGUUAAACAAAGUAUGGUGUGAAGAAAUGCUAUAGAAUGUACUGAAGUGAAAUAAAUAUUUUGCAUAAUAG